rnacentral:rRNA from 1 species
CUUGAGAGCGGCGGACGGGUGAGUAAUGCCUAGGAAUCUGCCUGGUAGUGGGGGAUAACGUUCGGAAACGGACGCUAAUACCGCAUACGUCCUACGGGAGAAAGCAGGGGACCUUCGGGCCUUGCGCUAUCAGAUGAGCCUAGGUCGGAUUAGCUAGUUGGUGGGGUAAUGGCUCACCAAGGCGACGAUCCGUAACUGGUCUGAGAGGAUGAUCAGUCACACUGGAACUGAGACACGGUCCAGACUCCUACGGGAGGCAGCAGUGGGGAAUAUUGGACAAUGGGCGAAAGCCUGAUCCAGCCAUGCCGCGUGUGUGAAGAAGGUCUUCGGAUUGUAAAGCACUUUAAGUUGGGAGGAAGGGCAGUAAAUUAAUACUUUGCUGUUUUGACGUUACCGACAGAAUAAGCACCGGCUAACUCUGUGCCAGCAGCCGCGGUAAUACAGAGGGUGCAAGCGUUAAUCGGAAUUACUGGGCGUAAAGCGCGCGUAGGUGGUUCGUUAAGUUGGAUGUGAAAUCCCCGGGCUCAACCUGGGAACUGCAUUCAAAACUGACGAGCUAGAGUAUGGUAGAGGGUGGUGGAAUUUYCUGUGUAGCGGUGAAAUGCGUAGAUAUAGGAAGGAACACCAGUGGCGAAGGCGACCACCUGGACUGAUACUGACACUGAGGUGCGAAAGCGUGGGGAGCAAACAGGAUUAGAUAC